GUGAGGUGCAAACGUUACCCGGAAUCAUUGGGCGUAAAGCGUCCGCAGGCGGCGUAGCAAGUCAGAUGCUAAAUCUUGAGGCUCAACUUCAAGCUCGUAUCUGAAACUGCUAUGCUAGAGAAUUGGAGAGGCGAGUGGAAUUCUAUAUGUAGGGGUAAAAUCCGUAGAUAUAUAGAGGAACACCAAAAGCGAAGGCAGCUCGCUGGCCAAUUUCUGACGCUCAUGGGACGAAAGCGUGGGGAGCAAACGGGAUUAGAUACCCCGGUAGUCCACGCCCGUAAACGAUGAUCACUCGAUGUUGGGAGUUCGACCCUCUCAGUGUCUAAGCUAACGCGAUAAGUGAUCCGCCUGGGGAGUACGGCCGCAAGGCUA
rnacentral:rRNA from 1 species